AGUGAACGCUGGCGGCAGGCCUAACACAUGCAAGUCGAGCGGCAGCGCUAAGGGCAACCUGAGGCGGCGAGCGGCGGACGGGUGAGGAAUGCAUCGGGAUCUACCCUGUCGUGGGGGACAACGUAGGGAAACUUACGCUAAUACCGCAUGAUCUGGAGACAGCAAAGCCGGGGACCUUCGGGCCUGGCGCGAUGGGAUGAGCCGAUGUCCGAUUAGCUAGUUGGCGGGUAAAGGCCCACCAAGGCGACGAUCGGUAGCUGGUCUGAGAGGACGACCAGCCACACUGGAACUGAGACACGGUCCAGACUCCUACGGGAGGCAGCAGUGGGGAAUAUUGGACAAUGGGGGCAACCCUGAUCCAGCCAUGCCGCGUGGGUGAAGAAGGCCUUCGGGUUGUAAAGCCCUUUUGUACGGGACGAAAAGCUCACGGUGAACAUCCGUGGGUGCUGACGGUACCGUAAGAAUAAGCACCGGCUAACUUCGUG
rnacentral:rRNA from 1 species